AAAGAAAAAGACAUCACAGCAGGAAUUAUGAAAGGAAACACCCUGGUCUAUUAAAAUGGGAGGACGAGGAGCAGCUUGCACAGUUUCGGCCGAAGGCCUGUAUAGGUCCGGUAAUACGAGGCUAGUGCACUACUCCUCUACUACGCUGACGGCUAGGCUAACAGCUAGGCUAACGGCUGACUGACGCUGGGCAGCGACACUUAAAGACCUCUGGAUACCAACUUCACAACUGAGGGAGGAAGAAGGAGCCAAGGACAUGUGACCACCUGCACUUUGAAAAAUAACAGAGGCCAUGAUGUGAGAAAGAAACUAAACAGAAUAGGAAUAAGAGGGAGCCACUGAGGAUGUGUUGUGGAUGAACGCUAUGGAGAGAAAUUAAGAUAAAAGAAGUUUCUUCCACUUCAGUGAUUUUCCACUUCUGGUAUCAACCUUACAAUUGAUAGAGAAAGAGACAAAGCAAGACAAGAGAGUUAGAACCAAUGAUGUGAGGAGAGAAGAAAAACGAAGAAGAAGACAAAGAAGAAGAAGAAGCCAAGUCCCUGUGACAGUUUGCACUCUGAGAAAUAAGAGAGGCCUUGAAACGAGAGAGCCAGUGAGGAUGUGUUCUGAAUGAACACUAUGGUAAAACAUGGUGAUUGAUUCUAUACCAGAAAUACAUUUUUCACACGUGAUUUGAGUGAAUUCAUUUGAUUGUUUCUUUGGCAGUUUUUCUUUUUCAAAGAGGAGAGACAACAACAGGAGAGAUUUCUUCCUCUUCAGCAGUCUUUGCCACCACCCGGAUUUGAACCAGUGUUGUUGCCACAACAGACAGCCAAGACAUGACGUGAGAAAGAAACAAGACAGAAAAAGAACAAGAAGGAGCCAGUGAGGAUGUGUUCUGAAUGAACGUUAUGGCAGAGGAUUCAAAGAGAAGAAGAAAUUAUGCAAAAAGUAAGACAAAUGAAGACUCUUCCCAGGAUUCAAACCGGGGUUGCAACGGCCACAACACAGAGCACUGACCUCUAUAUGAUGACAGCUGCUGCCUGUUAAAUCAAGAAGCAACAAUUAUGUAAGGAUGAAGCAAGAGAAACAUGACAAAAAGAAGGAGAAACAGAACCAAAGGACAAAAAGGAGGUCACAGGGGAACAUAUGGAAGCAAUAAUAUGAUGAGAGAAGAAGAAGAAGAAGAGCCAAGAAGUUGUGAUGAUGAUUUGCAUGAAAUAAUUAACUGGAGCCCAAAGGCUUUGUCAGAAGUCACAAACAAUAUUGAAAACCUCUGGAAACAAGCUGACAAACAAUAGAAAAGAGGCACUAAUUACAAUUUUAUCUGGAUUUGCAAUUAUUAUUUUUUGAAAUAUUUACACACUCCAAUACAUCAUCUAUUUCAAACAGCCCUCAUUUUUACAGCUCCUGAUAAAAUUAUGUGGUCCAUAAAGUCUUUAAACGUACUUAAACCUGUCAACCAGGUCAAGUUAUUGUUUUAUGCUUUAUUACGUUAUCCUUGUUUACUUCCUCUAUGGACGGUGUGAAAAGAUUCAAACAUUUUUAACAGCUUUUGUAUAUAUUGUGUAGUGUUUUUUGUCUCUUUACCAAGUCAUGCUGCUCACAUGAAUCUAAAAUGACAAAGAAUGAGAUUUAUCAAAGGAAUAUUGGUUAGGAGGUCUAAUCAGAAGAGGUUAUCCUGGCUUUAAUUAA